AUAAAGUGGAUUCAGGUUAAGUGAGAGCCAUGAGGAUGUUUGCUGGUAUGGGGAAGUUUCUGCAAGAGAGACACCUGGUCACAGAUCAGACACUUAGGCACCUGCUGUCUGCCAAGAUAAAGAAGUAUCCCAGCGUCACACACUCUGGAUCCAGCCACCUUUGAAAAGCCCCAACUAUGACCACAUGAACCUUCGGGGGACAUCCAGACACAGCCAUAACACGAGGAUUGAACCCAGGGCCUUUACACUGAGCUACAUCCCCAGCCUUUUCAACCUUUUAUUUUCAGACUGGGUCUCACUAAGUAGUAGUCACUGAAUUGCGGGAGAUACACAGCAGUGACAAGCUGGAGAUUGUGCCGGAUGGUUCUGCCUAGCUGAAGGCUGCUGUAAGUGUGUAGAGCACCUCCAGGGGAGGCUGAAGUAAGCUAUGAUCUGUAAAUUGGCACUAUGAAAUGCAUUUUUAAUUUCCGAUGGAUCACCUGACACUAGGCUCUUCAGGGUGAAACACCGUGGUAAGGAGCAUCUGCAUUAACCUC
ensembl:lncRNA